CCCGGCACUGCGGGUUAUUUACAGAGACCCUUGCGAUGCGGGCGGUAAGCAUCAGCGGCUUUGCGCGUCAGCGGAACCUGCAGCGUGAGUAGCCCAGCGAAAGCCGCCGGCCCUGACACCUUGCACACUCCCGACAGCUGAUCAGUCACCCCACAUAUCUCAUUACACAAUUCAGAGUAUGUACUACUGAGGGGUGUGCCACAUUGUUAAAGCUGCUCUCUUCCAGGUGGAAUGUUUAACCAACAUCAUAGAGCACUACACCACGGAAACAGGCUGCUGUACCUCCUCCAUGAUGGUCGUAUUGAGAAGAGCCAAUGAAGGGAAACACAGAUGUAAUGUUGGUAAAGUAACAUCCAGCUUGUACAUACAUAUAAUUAUGUUAAAGGAUGAAAUAAAUCUGCAUUAAUUUG